GUGAGAGGUCAUUGGUGAGGGAGAAGCGAGUCAGCAGUGUCCGGAGCUCCUCGAAUCCAUGAGGAAUGAAGCUUUUUUACCCUCAGUGGGCGUCAUAGUGAAGGCACGGACACACUAGCCCGUCACGCUGCCUUGUGAUUCCGUGAUAAUGUUUGCAUGCUAUCAAUACAGGUGUGGAUGGACUGAUGGAGAUAAGAGGCUGCAGAUACUGGAAUGUGAGGCUGUUAGGUUGUGGAUACCUGCCCGUGCUGACCACAUGAAGAACUGCAGCCGCCAUCCUACUCGCUUCCCAGCCUGACCCUGAAGGUGAAUAUGAAGCAUGGAAAAAAAUAGCAAGAAAAUAAACAUAACAUUGGAUAUGGAGAAGGUGUAGCUGAGAAAGGCAUCCUUCAGAAAUUACCCGUACUGAAGUGCUUGCUGGUGAUCGUGUCCUGUAAUUGGUUCGUCUAGAUGGAGAGAGCGACGCCACACGCCUUGUCUGUUUCCGGCGACCCCAGCAGGAAUGUGAUCGUGUGACUCAAGUGUGAUGACCGUGUUGGUAAGAUCUUACCUGGAGAGACGAGACAGGUGAGGCGUGGAGAGGAGGAGGAGGAGGAGGAGGAGGAGGAGGAGGAGGAGGAGGAGGAGGAGGAGGACGGGAGACACGUGACACCUGGAAGGAAAAGAGAAACGAGAGGUCAGGACGAAGUAAAAAUGAAGUUGCGGAAUGGAAGUGUGGUUGGUGGCUGGUCUUGAUUUACCUCCACGCGAGCUAUUCCUCAUCAAGAAAGGGCUGGACUUUUUUUCUUUUUUGUCUUCUUUCUUUCUUUUCUUCUACUUUUCUUCUGUGAA